rnacentral:lncRNA from 1 species
AAUCCCUACAUUUUGGGGCUGAUAAGCUGGUAAAGGAGGUAAACCCGAUGCAAUCUCCAACUGAGGGCCGGCGUUUAUAUUCGCCGGCCUGUAAGCAACCUGGAAAGGUGCCAUUUGCGGUUGCGCCUGUGAGACCGCCGGCGUGACGGGAUUUUGUUGCACCAGCACAUUUAGGGGGUCUUGUUGCCCCCCAUAAGGUUGCUCGUUUCGGGUAAAUAAUUGUCUGAUUCGACCAAUAUUUUCAUUAUAGGCCGUGAUAGCGGCCAGCACCGCGUCUAGUCGAGCGGUACUUUGAUGGAUAUUUUGAUCUAAAGUUUGCAGGACUCGGCUCAUCUGGCCGAGUGCCUGAGUUAGACUCGGCUCUUGAUGAGCCGACUGUUUACUAGUUUCUCCUUCAACUGGCAAAACUGCUUGACAUUCGCCAGCAUUGUCUGAAUCACUAGGUUGAUCACUCC